rnacentral:rRNA from 1 species
GUUUGAUCAUGGCUCAGAUUGAACGCUGGCGGUAUGCUUAACACAUGCAAGUCGAACGGUAACAGAACUAGCUUGCUAGUUGCUGACGAGUGGCGGACGGGUGAGUAACGCGUAGGGAUCUGCCUAACAAUGGGGGAUAGCCCGGUGAAAACCGGAUUAAUACCGCAUACGCUAAGGGAGAAAGGGUGCCUCUUCUUGAAAGCACUCGUUGUUAGAUGAACCUGCGUUGGAUUAGCUAGUUGGUAGGGUAAUGGCCUACCAAGGCGACGAUCCAUAGCUGGUCUGAGAGGAUGACCAGCCACACUGGGACUGAGACACGGCCCAGACUCCUACGGGAGGCAGCAGUAGGGAGUAUUGGACAAUGGGCGCAAGCCUGAUCCAGCCAUGCCGCGUGAGUGAAGAAGGCCUUCGGGUUGUAAAGCUCUUUCAGGUGGGAAGAAAAGGUUAGUGUUAAUAGCACUAGCUGCUGACGGUACCACCAGAAGAAGCACCGGCUAACUACGUGCCAGCAGCCGCGGUAAUACGUAGGGUGCGAGCGUUAAUCGGAAUUACUGGGCGUAAAGCGUGCGCAGGCGGUUUAGCAAGACAGGUGUGAAAUCCCCGAGCUCAACUUGGGAACUGCAUUUGUGACUGCUAGACUAGAGUAUAGCAGAGGGGGGUAGAAUUCCACGUGUAGCAGUGAAAUGCGUAGAUAUGUGGAGGAAUACCGAUGGCGAAGGCAGCCCCCUGGGUUAAUACUGACGCUCAUGUACGAAAGCGUGGGGAGCAAACAGGAUUAGAUACCCUGGUAGUCCACGCCGUAAACGAUGUCUACUAGCCGUUGGGAGGCUUGACCUCUUAGUGGCGCAGCUAACGCAAUAAGUAGACCGCCUGGGGAGUACGGUCGCAAGAUUAAAACUCAAAUGAAUUGACGGGGGCCCGCACAAGCGGUGGAGCAUGUGGUUUAAUUCGAUGCAACGCGAAAAACCUUACCAGGCCUUGACAUCCUGAGAAUUCGCUAGAGAUAGCUUAGUGCCUUCGGGAACUCAGAGACAGGUGUUGCAUGGCUGUCGUCAGCUCGUGUCGUGAGAUGUUGGGUUAAGUCCCGUAACGAGCGCAACCCUUAUCCUUAUUUGCCAGCACGUAAAGGUGGGAACUCUAAGGAGACUGCCGGUGACAAACCGGAGGAAGGAGAGGACGACGUCAAGUCAUCAUGGCCCUUACGGCCUGGGCUACACACGUGCUACAAUGGUCAAUACAGAGGGCCGCAAGACCGCGAGGUGGAGCAAACCCCAGAAAAUUGAUCGUAGUCCGGAUCGGAGUCUGCAACUCGACUCCGUGAAGUCGGAAUCGCUAGUAAUCGCGAAUCAGCAUGUCGCGGUGAAUACGUUCCCGGGCCUUGUACACACCGCCCGUCACAUCAUGGGAGUGGGCUGCAAAAGAAGUGGCUAGUUUAACCUUCGGGAGGACGCUUACCACGGUAGUAUUCAUGACUGGGGUGAAGUCAUAACAAGGUAACCGUA